rnacentral:rRNA from 1 species
UACGGGGGGGGCAAGCGUUGUUCGGAAUUACUGGGCGUAGAGGGCUCGUAGGCGGCCAACUAAGUCGGACGUGAAAUCCCUCAGCUUAACUGGGGAACUGCGUCCGAUACUGGAUGGCUUGGAUUCGGGAGAGGGAUGCGGAAUUCCAGGUGUAGCGGUGAAAUGCGUAGAUAUCUGGAGGAACACCGGUGGCGAAGGCGGCAUCCUGGACCGAUAUUGACGCUGAGGAGCGAAAGCCAGGGGAGCAAACGGG